UACGUAGGGUGCGAGCGUUGUCCGGAUUUAUUGGGCGUAAAGGGCUCGUAGGCGGCCUGUCGCGUCGGGAGUGAAGGCCCACUGCUUAACGGUGGGUCUGCUUCCGGUACGGGCGGGCUGGAGUAUGGCAGGGGAGACUGGAAUUCCUGGUGUAGCGGUGGAAUGCGCAGAUAUCAGGAGGAACACCGAUGGCGAAGGCAGGUCUCUGGGCCACUACUGACGCUGAGAAGCGAAAGCAUGGGGAGCGAACAGG
rnacentral:rRNA from 1 species